CCCUUAGAUGUUCUGGGUCGCACGCGCGCUACACUGAUGCAUUCAACGAGCCUAUCCUUGACCGACAGGUCCGGGUAAUCUUUGAAUCUGCAUCGUGACGGGGAUAGAUUAUUGCAAUUAUUAAUCUUCAACGAGGAAUGCCUAGUAGGCGCAAGUCAUCAGCUUGCGUCGAUUACGUCCCUGCCCUUUGUACACACCGCCCGUCGCUCCUACCGAUUGGGUGUGCUGGUGAAAUGUUCGGAUCGGCCGUUUGUCGCGGUUUCCGCGUCAUGUGGCUGAGAAGUUCAUUAAACCCUCCCACCUAGAGGAAGGAGAAGUCGUAACA
rnacentral:rRNA from 1 species